AGGACGAACGCUGGCGGCAGGCCUAACACAUGCAAGUCGAGCGCCCGUAGCAAUACGGGAGCGGCAGACGGGAUAGUAACACGUGGGAACGCGCCCUUCGGUUCGGAAUAACUCAGGGAAACUUGAGCUAAUACCGAAUACGCCCUUACGGGGAAAGAUUUAUUGCCGAAGGAACGGCCCGCGUCCGAUUAGCUAGUUGGUGAGGUAAUGGCUCACCAAGGCUACGAUCGGUAGCUGGUCUGAGAGGAUGACCAGCAUCACUGGGACUGAGACACGGCCCAGACUCCUACGGGAGGCAGCAGUGGGGAAUAUUGGACAAUGGGCGAAAGCCUGAUCCAGCCAUGCCGCGUGGAUGAUGAAGGCCUUAGGGUUGUAAAGUCCUUUUAACGGGGAGAUAAUGACGGUACCCGUAGAAUAAGCCCCGGCUAACUUCGUGCCAGCAGCCGC
rnacentral:rRNA from 1 species